GGAGAGAUGGCCGAGCAUGGUCGAAGGCGCUCGCCUGGAGAGCGAGUAGGCAGAAGCUCUCUGCCUCGUGGGUUCGAAUCCCACUCUCUCCGCCA
rnacentral:tRNA from 1 species